GACGAACGCUGGCGGCGGGCUUAAUACAUGCAAGUCGAACGGACCAAUUCCGGUAGUUUACGAUUGGGGAGGGUUAGUGGCGGGCGGGUGAGUAACGCGUGGGCGGUCGGCCCCUAAGUCCGGCGUAACAGAGCGAAAAUUCUGCUAAGACCGUGUACGCUUUACUAGCCGCUUGUUUGAUAAAGGAACAGGAACGCUUAGGGAUGAGCCCUCGUCCCAUUAGAUAGUUGGUGAGGUAACGGCCCACCAACGCAACGAUGGGUAGCCGGCCUGAGAGUGUGGGCGGACACACUGGGAGUGAGACACGGCCGAGAAUAUUACGGGAGGGAGGAGUAGGGAAUUCUCGGAAAUGGGCGAAAGGAUGAACGAGCAACGCUGCGAGAGGGACGAAGGUCUUCGGAUCGUAAACCUUUGUAAUCGAGGACGAUAAUGACGUUACUCGCGGAGGAAGCCCCGGCUAACUACGUG
rnacentral:rRNA from 1 species